CAUCAACAAACCCUACCGAGGGUGGGGUGUGCCGGAUCUUGCGCUGCAUGCCUCAAAUCCAAAGAUAAGUUCCUUUUUUAAAUUGUUUUCUUUAAUGGUGCCUUAUAUUUUCUAAUUGUUUAGUAUGUUAGGUCCGGUUUUGGGGAUUUGUGAUUUUAUAGAGAGAGAUGGAUAGGGAGAUAGAGAUUGACAGAGGGAGGAGAAGGCAUGGCUGUGUGCAUUUUUGGGGUUAAUUAAUGGGUUAGUACGCAGGGUCAGUGAGGAGAGUGACAGAGGGGUGUAUGGAAGGGUAUGGUUUUCACUUUUUUGCUCUGAUUCAACAGGUUAUGCACUGUUUGCAAAUCAUUGUUUAUUGUUUUGUUUUCCGUUUGCUUUGUUAAAACCAUAGUUUCGAAUUUUUUGGUUUCACUGUGCUAUUUCUGUGCUUCUUGAUAAUUUCCUGGCGUUUGCUUCUCAUCCCUCUGUUGGUAGAUUUUUUUUUUUCCAUCCCUCUGUUGCUUCUCAUCCCUCUGUCGGCUUAGUUUUGGCUAAGAAAUAAUUAGAGUGCUACUUAUUAAGUUGAGUUAACAAAUUUGCAGAGUGCAACGGAAUGCAUGAGAGAAGUUUUGAAACGAGUUAAGAAGAUGCCAGCUGAAAAGAGCAUACAAGAUAGGGAAUUGGGCUUAGGUGCUCUUGAAGAUGCCCACCGUGAUUUUUUUUACACCAAGGGGUGAUGGCAACCCAGGCAUUCCAACUUGCCCAGGUGGAGGCAUCGACUAAUCAGCUGGCUGAUCAGCAGAUGCCAGUGUAUAAUCUUGCAUCGAAGAUUCUUUGUCAGGUUAUCAAUGUAUCAUUGAAGGCUGAACCAGACACUGAUGAAGUAUUUGCACAAGUCACUUUACUUCCCGAAUCAAAUCAAGAUGAGAAUGCAGUGCAGAAGGAAAUAACAUAGGGCGCGCGUCCUUAAACGGGAAAAGACUUUGGUUAGGCAAAGCCAAAUUAAGGAAGAGAAUAGGUUUGCAUGGCUAUCACUCUUUCCAACAGGUUAGUGGGUUUCUCCGGAUUUUCGUUUUUCUCUAGUAGAGAGACAAAGAGAUAGAGAAAGAGGUGAAAAUUACUCGCUGGUGACGAAGCUAAUGAAUUCGGAGACGCAUUCCUGGACGGUGUUCGACUGAUCGGCGCGAGUAAAGAGAUGAGAUCAGAAAGACAGAAAAAUUAGGGUUUGAGAGAUAAAGAAACUGAGGCAGAGAGAGACGGAAAGAAAGAAGUAGAAAAGAGGAAGGUAAUUGAAACCUUCCAGCGACUUUGUUCUUUAAAAAUAACUUUAUGACAAAAUUACCCUUGGAUAAUUUUAUGCAUUCUUUCAUCACUUUGAA